CGAACAGGAUUAGAUACCCUGGUAGUCCACGCCGUAAACGAUGAGUGCUAAGUGUUAGGGGGUUUCCGCCCCUUAGUGCUGCAGCUAACGCAUUAAGCACUCCGCCUGGGGAGUACGGUCGCAAGACUGAAACUCAAAGGAAUUGACGGGGGCCCGCACAAGCGGUGGAGCAUGUGGUUUAAUUCGAAGCAACGCGAAGAACCUUACCAGGUCUUGACAUCCUCUGACAACCCUAGAGAUAGGGCUUUCCCUUCGGGGACAGAGUGACAGGUGGUGCAUGGUUGUCGUCAGCUCGUGUCGUGAGAUGUUGGGUUAAGUCCCGCAACGAGCGCAACCCUUGAUCUUAGUUGCCAGCAUUCAGUUGGGCACUCUAAGGUGACUGCCGGUGACAAACCGGAGGAAGGUGGGGAUGACGUCAAAUCAUCAUGCCCCUUAUGACCUGGGCUACACACGUGCUACAAUGGACAGAACAAAGGGCUGCGAGACCGCAAGGUUUAGCCAAUCCCACAAAUCUGUUCUCAGUUCGGAUCGCAGUCUGCAACUCGACUGCGUGAAGCUGGAAUCGCUAGUAAUCGCGGAUCAGCAUGCCGCGGUGAAUACGUCCCCGGGCCUUGUACAA
rnacentral:rRNA from 1 species